rnacentral:ncRNA from 1 species
AUCUUCAGUUUCGGGGGCCCUGGUACAGGCAGGCCGGGUGAACCCCUCUUUUAUUUGCAGCACCGCCGCUUUUGGGGACCUCGGUACAGGCAGGCCGGGUAUCCCCCCUUUAUACGCAGUACCCCUUUUGGGGACCCUGGUACAGGCAGGCCGGGAUAUCCCCUCUUUUAUUCGUGCAG